UGGUCAAUGACAGUGUGAAAAAUGCUGAAUUGGGACCUUGUCAAGGAUGUGAGGGGAAUGGUUGCGAGUUUCCAGAAAAAGAAUCUCUCAUUGCAAGAUGAUGCUUCCCUGAACGAUGGAAAGCCUUGGCUGGGAUGUCCUGACGUGGCUCAGCCCUUCCUUAUGUUUCUGCAGCAUCAACUGUGUGUCUGGGCCUGCACCAGAUCCUGAGACUACAGCAGGGAAGGAAAGAAGACAAGGUUUCUAGGGAGGAGGAUGAACAACAAAACAGUACUCAAAAUACACGCACCAGCCUGGCCUCACUCAGAAGCCAAAUAAUUAGCGUCAUUCGGGAUUCUGCCUUGCCGCUUGCUGUGAGAUAGCCCGGACCACUCGGACACCAAGACCUGGCUACCAAACCUCGACACAGCAUCUUAAGCCGUCUUGGAAGAAGAGAAGGACCAAAAAUACCCAGGUAGGAGAAAUACCUGCAUGGGUGUAGUGGCUGUGAAGGUGGUGAGAAAUUAAGAACAAUGUAAUAACUAUAAUAAGUUACUGAAUGCUGAC